rnacentral:lncRNA from 1 species
UUAACGAUGAUCGUAAUUUUCUUCAAUUCACGUAUAAUCAACAAAUCAAGAGAUAACAGUGGGUAGUUAUAUACUAUUUCCCAUAUCUCGUGUGUAUACCGAAAAGUACUCAGUUUUUAUACUCAUGUUAUUCAUGGUUCUAUUUUUCUUUUGUUUACUCUGUACGUGCACUUUUUUUAGAUUUUAAAAAUACACCGCGCGUGUAUCAUUUGUAACUGUAAGUUCAAACAGAAUUAAGGAAUGAAGAGAGGGCACG